GGUGUGGCUUGGGCUUCCUUACAAAACAGCAGCUUCGAGAGCAUGCUUCAGGUCCUGAACUAGACGUUUUUGAGGAACUUCCAGACUUGCCUUUAUAUUCCGUGAGAUACCACCGUAUCACCAUAAGACUUCAGAUUAAUUCUGUCGACUGCGCAGGUCAAAAAUAGCAUGCACUGACUCCAUCAGAAUUCAAGAUGUGUAUCCUGGAGUUCCAGUUUCUGGAGGAACCACAGUUAACUGCUGGCCACUUUUGCUCCAGCUAGAGGAGUCCAUGGACCACUGGACAGGAUGGAAAGUUCCACAAGGGCAGCUGUGGGAGAACAGAGUCCUAGGACCAUGACAUCCUACUCAGCGCCACCGCCCGCACUCCCCCCGCCCCCCGCCAACCCUCCGCUCCCCGAACCCCGCCGCGGUAUCCCAAGCUUGGCGCUGGAGCUGGGAAUCCUGUGGAAGAAGGGAGAGAGGCCAGCGGUAGGAGGUGGUUGCGGGUUCCUGGAGGGUGAGGAUACCCAGCGACAACCAG
ensembl:lncRNA